GUUGUCAACUUCGCCUCCGAGCCGAUCGAGGGAUGGAGAUUUUAGUUCAGCAGCAUUAAAGAUCUGCGCUUGAAAUAAUUGUGGGAGGAGAUGGCCACCCUGGAAACAGCAGGAACAGAAAAUGUAGGACAAGAAGAUCUCUGGAUUCUGGGAGUACCGGAACAGGAGGAGGAUGGAUGCUACUGGGAACUUCCAUGAGACUGCACCGUGAAUAUUUUCACCAUGUGUAGGUAUUUUUAGGAGGUGUAAAUCAGGCAUUUGGAGCAGAAGGUAAAAUUAAGUCACCUCUGUAUCUUUAGG